rnacentral:sRNA from 1 species
AUGUUGCGCAUCUGCGGGGGGAUGAGAAACCCCGACCGGGGUUCGACUGCUGGCGUAGCCAGCUGGACAGACCGGGAGUGCUACGAACGGUCUGCCCGCAGGGCGAGCGAAGCGAGUCAAUCCCCCCCUCACCGCCA